rnacentral:tRNA from 1 species
GCGGGCGUCGUUCAAUGGUAGGACUUCAGCUUCCCAAGCUGAUAACGUGGGUUCGAUUCCCAUCGCCCGCUCCA